UACGGAGGGAGCUAGCGUUGUUCGGAAUCACUGGGCGUAAAGGGCGCGUAGGCGGCCAUUCAAGUCAGAGGUGAAAGCCCAAGGCUCAACCUUGGAACUGCCUUUGAUACUGUUUGGCUUGAGACCGGUAGAGGUAAGUGGAACUGCGAGUGUAGAGGUGAAAUUCGUAGAUAUUCGCAAGAACACCAGUGGCGAAGGCGGCUUACUGGACCGGUUCUGACGCUGAGGCGCGAAAGCGUGGGGAGCAACAGG
rnacentral:rRNA from 1 species